CAAGGCAAGACCCUGUCUCAAACAAACAAACAAAUUCCAGCACCACUAUUACCAUCUAUGAGAACUUGGACAAAUUCCUAAAGUUCUCUAUGCCUCAGUUUCCUCAUCCAUUAGCCUUCCCGGGGACUCACGAAAGGGCAGGCUUAGCCUCCUCCCCAUGUCGCCCCUCAUUGGCUAGAAACUACUGCUCGUCUCGGUCGUUGUUAGCAGCGACCAGGGCGGGUACAAUCUUGGUAGCUAGGACACGGCUAACUUCCGCUUUCUUCCCCCUCUCCUAGGCUCAAACUAGUCAAAUCUUGUUCACUCGACCAAUGGCAAAUGGGAAGUGGGCGGGAC
rnacentral:lncRNA from 1 species